GGCGGCAUGCCUAACACAUGCAAGUCGAACGAAGCCUUCGGGCUUAGUGGCGCACGGGUGCGUAACGCGUGGGAAUCUACCCUUAGGUUCGGAAUAACAGUUGGAAACGACUGCUAAUACCGGAUGAUGACGUAAGUCCAAAGAUUUAUCGCCUAGGGAUGAGCCCGCGUAGGAUUAGCUAGUUGGUGUGGUAAAGGCGCACCAAGGCGACGAUCCUUAGCUGGUCUGAGAGGAUGAUCAGCCACACUGGGACUGAGACACGGCCCAGACUCCUACGGGAGGCAGCAGUGGGGAAUAUUGGACAAUGGGCGAAAGCCUGAUCCAGCAAUGCCGCGUGAGUGAUGAAGGCCUUAGGGUUGUAAAGCUCUUUUACCCGGGAUGAUAAUGACAGUACCGGGAGAAUAAGCUCCGGCUAACUCCGUGCCAGCAGCCGCGGUAAUACGGAGGGAGCUAGCGUUAUUCGGAAUUACUGGGCGUAAAGCGCACGUAGGCGGCUUUGUAAGUAAGA
rnacentral:rRNA from 1 species